rnacentral:tRNA from 1 species
CGGGAUAUAGCUCAGCUUGGUAGAGCACCUGCUUUGGGAGCAGGGGGUCGUAGGUUCAACUCCUACUAUCCCGA